rnacentral:other from 1 species
AGUUCCCUGCUGUGUCCGUGAUCAAGCCGGCAGAUGGUAUGCGCCAACACCAUCUAAAAGGGAUCCGGACUCUGGACACCGAGGGCAGGCCCCCCCUGCUCGGGGAAGCCCGCAUGGCGUCCAGGAGGAACCCACCUGCCGGGGGCAGGUGCAAACCGGCCGGCACCUAACGGCACGGCGGGGAAAUC